rnacentral:rRNA from 1 species
UUACUGAGUGAGGGCCCCUCGGGGUCCAACCUCCCACCCGUGUUUAACGUACCUUGUUGCUUCGGCGGGCCCGCCUCACGGCCGCCGGGGGGCAUCCGCCCCCGGGCCCGCGCCCGCCGAAGCCACCUGUGAACGCUGUCUGAAGUAUGCAGUCUGAGACAAUUAUUAAAUUAAUUAAAACUUUCAACAACGGAUCUCUUGGUUCCGGCAUCGAUGAAGAACGCAGCGAAAUGCGAUAACUAAUGUGAAUUGCAGAAUUCAGUGAAUCAUCGAGUCUUUGAACGCACAUUGCGCCCUCUGGUAUUCCGGAGGGCAUGCCUGUCCGAGCGUCAUUGCUGCCCUCCAGCCCGGCUGGUGUGUUGGGCCCCGCCCCCCUUCCCGGGGGGGCGGGCCCGAAAGGCAGCGGCGGCACCGCGUCCGGUCCUCGAGCGUAUGGGGCUUUGUCACCCGCUCUUGCAGGCCCGGCCGGCGCCAGCCGACCCCCUCAAUCUAUUUUUUCAGGUUGACCUCGGAUCAGGUAGGGAUACCCGCUGAACUUAAGCAUAUCAAUAAGCGGAGGAAAAGAAACCAACCGGGAUUGCCCUAGUAACGGCGAGUGAAGCGGCAAGAGCUCAAAUUUGAAAGCUGGCUCCUUCGGGGUCCGCAUUGUAAUUUGCAGAGGAUGCUUCGGGAGCGGUCCCCAUCUAAGUGCCCUGGAACGGGCCGUCAUAGAGGGUGAGAAUCCCGUAUGGGAUGGGGUGCCCGCGCCCGUGU